GUACUUGUAGAGCUGAGGAGUGUUAAUUUUUUGAGUUAAUGGUUAAGACAGGUAGA
rnacentral:tRNA from 1 species